rnacentral:piRNA from 1 species
UAGGUCUUGAAAGUAUUCAGAAAACCCUGC